AACGAACGCUGGCGGCAUGCCUAACACAUGCAAGUCGAACGAGACCUUCGGGUCUAGUGGCGCACGGGUGCGUAACGCGUGGGAAUCUGCCCUUGGGUCCGGAAUAACUCAGAGAAAUUUGAGCUAAUACCGGAUGAUGACGUAAGUCCAAAGAUUUAUCGCCCAGGGAUGAGCCCGCGUAGGAUUAGCUAGUUGGUGAGGUAAAGGCUCACCAAGGCGACGAUCCUUAGCNGGUCUGAGAGGAUGACCAGCCACACUGGGACUGAGACACGGCCCAGACUCCUACGGGAGGCAGCAGUGGGGAAUAUUGGACAAUGGGCGAAAGCCUGAUCCAGCAAUGCCGCGUGAGUGAUGAAGGCCUUAGGGUUGUAAAGCUCUUUUACCCGGGAUGAUAAUGACAGUACCGGGAGAAUAAGCCCCGGCUAACUCCGUGCCAGCCGCCGCCGUAAG
rnacentral:rRNA from 1 species